rnacentral:rRNA from 1 species
UCGCACGGGUGGUUUCGGCCAUCAGUGGCGGACGGGUGAGUAACGCGUAGGAACGUGUCCAGAGGUGGGGGACAACCCCGGGAAACUGGGGCUAAUACCGCAUGGGGGCUGAGGCCCAAAGCCGAGAGGCGCCAUUGGAGCGGCCUGCGUCCGAUUAGGUAGUUGGUGGGGUAAAGGCCUACCAAGCCUGCGAUCGGUAGCUGGUCUGAGAGGACGACCAGCCACACUGGGACUGAGACACGGCCCAGACUCCUACGGGAGGCAGCAGUGGGGAAUAUUGGACAAUGGGCGAAAGCCUGAUCCAGCAAUGCCGCGUGGGUGAAGAAGGUCUUCGGAUCGUAAAGCCCUUUCGACGGGGACGAUGAUGACGGUACCCGUAGAAGAAGCCCCGGCUAACUUCGUGCCAGCAGCCGCGGUAAUACGAAGGGGGCUAGCGUUGCUCGGAAUUACUGGGCGUAAAGGGCGCGUAGGCGGCGGCCCAAGUCAGGCGUGAAAUUCCUGGGCUCAACCUGGGGACUGCGCUUGAUACUGGGUUGCUUGAGGAUGGAAGAGGCUCGUGGAAUUCCCAGUGUAGAGGUGAAAUUCGUAGAUAUUGGGAAGAACACCGGUGGCGAAGGCGGCGAGCUGGUCCAUUACUGACGCUGAGGC